GGUGGAAGAUGUUGAGACGCCAGGAUUACUGAAGAACUGGCCAAGCCCUGUUGGCCAUGUUUUACUUUAUAAUGCUUUUGGGUCAUUCUCACUCUCCCUUUCCUACCUAUAAAGCCUAGCUAGUUAGCAAGCAAUACAAGCAAUAACAGAUUAUGUGUUUUAGUGUUGUCAUUGUUUCCAAUUCUGAGUGGAGCAUAUGUAGGCCUAAUUUGAUUUACCAACCGUGGCCCCAGCUCUUCAUUACUUAUCCAUUUACCUUAUAACCCUUCAUCCUCUCCUUUCAUUUGGUCUGAAAGGAAAUACGGUUUCAAUUGGCAUAAAAUAAAAUAAUGACUGUGUUUUUGUGGACUAUAUCAAAGCUAAAUACACACCUUGUCAAGUGAACAGUUCUUUCCCAGUCAAAUUAAUCUCCUGGCAGGAUUGGAGAGCUAGUGAUAGGCCCACCACUCACAGGCAACAUGCUCCCACCACUCACAGGCAACAUGCUCCCACCACUCACAGGCAACAUGCCCCUACCAUUCACACGCAACAUGCCCCUACCACUCACAGGCAACAUACUCCCACCACUCACAGGCAACAUGCCCCUACCACUCACAGGCAACAUACUCCCACCACUCACAGGCAACAUGCCCCUACCAUUCACA
ensembl:lncRNA